rnacentral:lncRNA from 1 species
GAAGGCGGAGAAGACAACCGUAGAACCCGCGACUUUUUUUUGUUGUAUUUUUGGUUUCGUGUUAAGAGUAUCGCACGUCGCCGGAAGAAGAAAGCCCUCACCGGAGCAUCCCGAAGUCAUCGGAAACUAACCCGGAAUUCGCUCUAUCCUCCACUGUUUGAACAUGGAGCUUUAUGGAAUUUAUGAAAAAGAUGACUUAUGUUUCUGUUAACCACUUUUGUUCGUACUCGUGGUUUCCCAAUCUUUACUCGUCCGUUCUUACAAGAAAGCGCAACGCAAUCAAUGUGAGUAUACAUGAC